rnacentral:rRNA from 1 species
CCUACGGGAGGCAGCAGUGGGGAAUAUUGCGCAAUGGGCGAAAGCCUGACGCAGCGACGCCGCGUGAGGGAUUAAGGUCUUCGGAUCGUAAACCUCUGUCAGCAGGGAAGAACGGUCACUGUGCUAAUCAGCAGUGAAUUGACGGUACCUGCACAGGAAGCACCGGCUAACUCCGUGCCAGCAGCCGCGGUAAGACGGAGGGUGCGAGCGUUCAUCGGAAUUACUGGGCGUAAAGCGCUCGUAGGCGGUAUGUCAAGUCAAGGGUGAAAUCCCCGCGCUCAACGUGGGAACGGCCUUUGAAACUGGCAAACUGGAGUGUGUGAGAGGAUAGUGGAAUUCUAGGUGUAGGAGUGAAAUCCGUAGAUAUCGGGAGGAACAUCAGGGGCGAAGGCGACUAUCUGGCACAUAACUGACGCUGAGGAGCGAAAGCGUGGGUAGCAAACGGGAUUAGAUACCCGUGUAGUC